AAGUCGUAACAAGGUCUCCGUUGGUGAACCAGCGGAGGGAUCAUUACCGAGUUUACAACUCCCAAACCCCUGUGAACAUACCUAUCGUUGCUUCGGCGGGACCGCCCCGGCGCCUUCGGGCCCGGACCCAGGCGCCCGCCGGAGGACCCAAACUCUUGUUUUCAUAAGAAUCUUCUGAGUGAUACAAGCAAAUAAAUUAAAACUUUCAACAACGGAUCUCUUGGUUCUG
rnacentral:misc_RNA from 1 species